GGCUGGUCCGAAUGCAGUGGCGUUUACAACUAAUUGAUCACAACCAGUUACAGAUUCCCUUGUUCCUUCUCCACUUGACUAGGAAA
rnacentral:sRNA from 1 species